GAUGAACGCUAGCGGCAGGCUUAAUACAUGCAAGUCGAGGGGCAGCGCGGGGUAGCAAUACUCUGGCGGCGACCGGCAAACGGGUGCGGAACACGUACAGAACCUUCCUUCGAGCGGGGAAUAGCCCAGAGAAAUUUGGAUUAAUACCCCAUAGUAUAGCGGAGUGGCAUCACUCUGUUAUUAAAGAUUUAUCACUUGAAGAUGGCUGUGCGGCUGAUUAGGUAGUUGGCGGGGUAACGGCCCACCAAGCCUGCGAUCAGUAACUGGUGUGAGAGCACGACCAGUCAAACGGGAACUGAGACACGGGCCCGACUCCUACGGGAGGCAGCAGUAAGGAAUAUUGGUCAAUGGACGAAAGUCUGAACCAGCCAUGCCGCGUGAAGGAUGAAGGUCCUCUGGAUUGUAAACUUCUUUUAUAUGGGACGAAAAAAGGCUUUUCUAAGUCGUCUGACGGUACCAUUUGAAUAAGCACCGGCUAACUCCGUGCCAGCAGCCGCGGUAACAC
rnacentral:rRNA from 1 species